GUCCCCUGUGUGCUGUUUAAUUUUUCCAUGUCUUGUCCUCCUUAAUUGUUGUCAGCUGUUUUCCCACCUAUUGGCCAUCUGCUUGUUGUCCUAUGACUCUAUUUAUUCACUCUGUCUCCAACUGUUCAUUGUGGUUUUGUACUGUUUGUCAGUCCUUGUGUUACUCCAUGCUAUUUUUUGGAUUAUUGAACUUAAGUUUCCUACAGCAAUAUCUGUUUGCUGCCACAACUACAAUAUAAGUUAGUUUCAGUUAAGUUAAUGGUUUUCCUUGUCUGCAUCUGGGUCUACGCCACAACCUUACACACCAUUUGCCCUUCUAGUGAAUCUGCUAGAAUGUCCACACAUUGCAAAGCUUGGCAAUGGUUUCCCACAAUACAGUGAAUGAACAGAAUAAAAUGAUUGACAAUGAAUGUUCCAGACCAGCAAUCUGAAAAAAUUGUUCUGCCUUGAUAGGUGUUCACAUUUACUUAUAAUCAGUUAAUCACAUGUAUUUAAUUAGCAGCAUCUGGCUGUUACUUACUAUCUUAACUCCUAUUGAAGCAGUAAGGGUGUACUUAGAUUCUCACAGGACUGCUUCUGCAUUUUUGUUAAAUAAUGACAUGGUAUAAUAAUGUAUGUCACGUAUUGUUGCCUACCUGAUGUUUACAUUAUAUUCUGAUAUGUAGUCUUAUAAGGGUUAUGUUGACAGAAGUUAUACUUUUGUUUAAUUGACCAUAAUGUUGUUCAGGCUGGAGCGUUAUUUCCUGUAUAUUUCAGUACUUUGACACAACAAGGGAAAAGUGUUAAGAUUACAAUCAAAGUGGAAACAGUAUUAGAAUAAAUGUUUUUAUAAACCUCUAAGUGUGGUAGGAGAGAGUUCAACAAGGGGACAGAGACAUUAAUUUUUUGUGUUUCAGAUUUUUCCAUAAUUCUUCGAUCUGAUUAUGCGUUGAAAUGGAGAGAGCCGUUACCUGGAAUACAAUGGGGACCCUGAAACAGGACGCAAUUAUAAGACCUUGACUUUACAUUAUUGAAGCAUUAAUGCAUUUGUUUUUUUAUUUACUAUCGAUUGAUUUGCACACUGAUAUUGUUUCGCUGACUUGUUGAAUGGACAUUAUAUGGCUCACUACUUGAAUGCAAACACAAGGCUGUGUUUGUAUAUUAUUUCAGUGCAAACUGUGUUUUGAAUUUAUCUUUGUACUAUGGAUUCAUAACUGUGUAGACUCGCAAAUUAUCAUGGUUAGCGCUGGCCAACCGUGGGGAUGUGAGGAAGAAGGACCCAAAUGCUGGACUCUUUAUGAUAAACAGUGCAUUUAUUUACAGUGGUGUAAAUAAUCCACAGAAUAAUAAGUCCCCGUGUGUUCCCUU